rnacentral:lncRNA from 1 species
GCGAAUCGUACAAGUUGAGAUAUAUAAACACCGUAAGAUGGUGACAAGGGAACGUCACCAUCUAAAAAUGGAUAAUUAACGAUAGGAAAUGAAAAAUCAUCUCUUUUAUCAUAAAUUUGAGUAUUCAGCUUUCUGUUAGUGAUAUAGAUAUCAAGAUCGAGGAAAGGACAGUGGUCAUUGUUAGUAUUAGCUUUAUUUAAAGUAAGUUCAGCAGG